rnacentral:rRNA from 1 species
CAGCAGGUCCUUCGGGAUGCUGACGAGCGGCGGACGGGUGAGUAAUGCAUAGGAAUCUGCCCGGUAGUGGGGGAUAACCUGGGGAAACCCAGGCUAAUACCGCAUACGUCCUACGGGAGAAAGGGGGCUCCGGCUCCCGCUAUGGGAUGAGCCUAUGUCGGAUUAGCUAGUUGGUGAGGUAACGGCUCACCAAGGCCACGAUCCGUAGCUGGUCUGAGAGGAUGAUCAGCCACAUCGGGACUGAGACACGGCCCGAACUCCUACGGGAGGCAGCAGUGGGGAAUAUUGGACAAUGGGGGCAACCCUGAUCCAGCCAUGCCGCGUGUGUGAAGAAGGCCCUCGGGUUGUAAAGCACUUUCAGCGAGGAAGAACGCCUAGCGGUUAAUACCCGCUAGGAAAGACAUCACUCGCAGAAGAAGCACCGGCUAACUCCGUGCCAGCAGCCGCGGUAAUACGGAGGGUGCAAGCGUUAAUCGGAAUUACUGGGCGUAAAGCGCGCGUAGGUGGCUUGAUAAGCCGGUUGUGAAAGCCCCGGGCUCAACCUGGGAACGGCAUCCGGAACUGUCAAGCUAGAGUGCAGGAGAGAAGUAGAAUUCCCGUGUAGC